AGAGAUUGAACAUAAGAGUUUGAUCCUGGCUCAGAUUGAACGCUGGCGGCAUGCUUUACACAUGCAAGUCGGACGGCAGCACAGGGAAGCUUGCUUCUCGGGUGGCGAGUGGCGAACGGGUGAGUAACAUAUCGGAACGUACUGGGUAGCGGGGGAUAACUGAUCGAAAGAUCAGCUAAUACCGCAUACGUCUUGAGAGGGAAAGCAGGGGACCUUCGGGCCUUGCGCUAUCCGAGCGGCCGAUAUCUGAUUAGCUGGUUGGCGGGGUAAAGGCCCACCAAGGCGACGAUCAGUAGCGGGUCUGAGAGGAUGAUCCGCCACACUGGGACUGAGACACGGCCCAGACUCCUACGGGAGGCAGCAGUGGGGAAUUUUGGACAAUGGGCGCAAGCCUGAUCCAGCCAUGCCGCGUGUCUGAAGAAGGCCUUCGGGUUGUAAAGGACUUUUGUCAGGGAAGAAAAGGCCGUUGCCAAUAUCGGCGGCCGAUGACGGUACCUGAAGAAUAAGCACCGGCUAACUACGUGCCAGCAGCCGCGGUAAUACGUAGGGUGCGAGCGUUAAUCGGAAUUACUGGGCGUAAAGCGGGCGCAGACGGUUACUUAAGCAGGAUGUGAAAUCCCCGGGCUCAACCCGGGAACUGCGUUCUGAACUGGGUGACUCGAGUGUGUCAGAGGGAGGUGGAAUUCCACGUGUAGCAGUGAAAUGCGUAGAGAUGUGGAGGAAUACCGAUGGCGAAGGCAGCCUCCUGGGAUAACACUGACGUUCAUGUCCGAAAGCGUGGGUAGCAAACAGGAUUAGAUACCCUGGUAGUCCACGCCCUAAACGAUGUCAAUUAGCUGUUGGGCAACUUGAUUGCUUGGUAGCGUAGCUAACGCGUGAAAUUGACCGCCUGGGGAGUACGGUCGCAAGAUUAAAACUCAAAGGAAUUGACGGGGACCCGCACAAGCGGUGGAUGAUGUGGAUUAAUUCGAUGCAACGCGAAGAACCUUACCUGGUUUUGACAUGUGCGGAAUCCUCCGGAGACGGAGGAGUGCCUUCGGGAGCCGUAACACAGGUGCUGCAUGGCUGUCGUCAGCUCGUGUCGUGAGAUGUUGGGUUAAGUCCCGCAACGAGCGCAACCCUUGUCAUUAGUUGCCAUCAUUCGGUUGGGCACUCUAAUGAGACUGCCGGUGACAAGCCGGAGGAAGGUGGGGAUGACGUCAAGUCCUCAUGGCCCUUAUGACCAGGGCUUCACACGUCAUACAAUGGUCGGUACAGAGGGUAGCCAAGCCGCGAGGCGGAGCCAAUCUCACAAAACCGAUCGUAGUCCGGAUUGCACUCUGCAACUCGAGUGCAUGAAGUCGGAAUCGCUAGUAAUCGCAGGUCAGCAUACUGCGGUGAAUACGUUCCCGGGUCUUGUACACACCGCCCGUCACACCAUGGGAGUGGGGGAUACCAGAAGUAGGUAGGGUAACCGCAAGGAGUCCGCUUACCACGGUAUGCUUCAUGACUGGGGUGAAGUCGUAACAAGGUAGCCGUAGGGGAACCUGCGGCUGGAUUACCUCCUUUCUAGAG
rnacentral:rRNA from 1 species